AGGGUGUAAACGCUGCAGACUUGGUGUUGGGAACCCUUCGGGGGUGCUCAGUGCCGGAGAGAAGUUGUUAAGUCUGCUACUUGGGGAGUACGUCCGCAAGGAUGUAACUUAAAGGAAUUGGCGGGGGAGCACCGCAACGGGAGGAGCGUGCGGUUUAAUUGGAUUCAACGCCGGGAAGCUCACCGGAUAGGACAGCAGAAUGAUUGCCGGGCUGAAGACCCUGCAUGACUAGCUGAGAGGUGGUGCAUGGCGUAGACGUCU
rnacentral:rRNA from 1 species